GACGAACCGUGCGAACGUUGUUCGGAAUCACUGGGCUUAAAGGGCGCGUAGGCGGGUGUGCAAGUCUGCGGUGAAAGCCUCCAGCUUAACUGGAGAAGUGCCGUGGAUACUGCAUAUCUUGAGGAGGGUAGGGGCAUCUGGAACAUUGGGUGGAGCGGUGAAAUGCGUUGAUAUCCAAUGGAGCUCCGGUGGCGAAGGCGAGGUGCUGGACCCUUUCUGACGCUGAGGCGCGAAAGCCAGGGGAGCAAACGGG
rnacentral:rRNA from 1 species